UACGAAAGGGGCUAGCGUUGUUCGGAAUUACUGGGCGUAAAGCGCACGUAGGCGGCCUUGUAAGAUGGGGGUGAAAUCCCCGGGCUCAACCCGGGAACUGCCUUCAUGACUGCAAAGCUAGAGGAUGCGAGAGGUUAGCGGAAUUCCGAGUGUAGAGGUGAAAUUCGUAGAUAUUCGGAAGAACACCAGUGGCGAAGGCGGCUAACUGGCGCAUUUCUGACGCUGAGGUGCGAAAGCGUGGGGAGCAAAC
rnacentral:rRNA from 1 species